rnacentral:rRNA from 1 species
AUGGAGAUGGAGACGAUGGAGGCGGGAAGAAAGAGAGAACGUCUGAUGGAGACGGGGAAAUCGGGGAGAAAGCGGGCGGGGAAAAAGAAGGCGUCGAAUGCGUUGUCGUUUUUUAUGCAAUUGACGAUUGAUUCAGCGAAGAUGGUCGAAGAGGGAAGGCUGAAGCGAGCUGUGGCGAGGCGGAACGAGGAGAACCCCGGCGUGGCGCCGAUCGUGCCGGAGGCGCUCACGGAGCAGGAGCGGGCGGCGCUCUUGCAGGAAGAGAUGGCGAGGGAGAAGAUGUUGUCGCGCGACCUCUCCCUGCAGAUGCACGCGGAGAGGCUAAGGGAAAAAGAAGAGAGGCCCCCGGCGCCGCCGGGUCCGAACCAAGAAGACGAGUCUGAACAGGAUUACAACAAGUACCGGCAGAUCUGGGACAUGAAGUGGUCCAAACAGUACGGCUCUUUCGAGCACACAACAUCGAUCCCCGCCAUGUGUUUCACGGACAAUCCUAUGCCUCGUUUCACUGUCCACCAGACCACCAUGCAGAUCUUCUCAGUCAAGGUCACGGAAAUAACUGGCAGUUUACAGUGGCCCCUCGAUGUAUUUGGCAUGAUCGCCAUGCGCGACGACCUGGAUCAUAAUCGCAACAUUAUCUUUAACCGCUCAAGGGACAACUGCCAAACCCUCACCCAACAGGGUCAACAUUUGGUUCUUACAGGUCCAGCUCGUGCUGUUGUGCAUGAGGGGCAUCCGUCUGUGUACUUUGAGGCCAUUCUAAAAGUUAAGGGCGCUACCUGUUCAGAGGACAGAGAUCUAAGCCUCCUGAUCAGCCGCUGCAAUAUCCAUCAAUCGCCAUCCAAAUCGCUUGUGGGCACCAGAUGCUACACAAGUAAGCUCAGCACACUGGAGCUGGCAUAUGGCAUCAUCGUCGCUUGCGCCGAGGCCACCAUCGGAGUCGAGGUGGUCGAGGGGUCAUGGCCAGAAGGGUUCCACGGCCAGUUGACUGCAUGUACUGCCAGUGUUCCCCACAUGAAAGUCAUGCUGCUCGAUUCAGGCGAGAAAGCGGCAAGAUGGAACUCUCGCGCCGUGUUGUCUCUGUUGAAAGGUCUGGGCAGCUCGUGGUUUGUGCUGUGCUGUCUCGUGGUGGCGAGAAGGUGGUGGAGGCUGAGACGUCCUUUGCACCAUUGGAGGCUGGUAGAAGCCAUGACAUGCUUGAUGUUGGCUCGUGUAAGCUGCGAGUCACGGUGGCCUGGUCGCCAAUUCUGA